rnacentral:rRNA from 1 species
GACGUAGGGCGCAAGCGUUGUCCGGAUUUAUUGGGCGUAAAGAGCUCGUAGGCGGCUCGGUAAGUCAGGUGUCAAAUCCUCAGGCUCAACCUGGGGCUCCACCUGAUACUGCUGUGGCUAGAGUCCGGUAGGGGAGCGUGGAAUUCCUGGUGUAGCGGUGAAAUGCGCAGAUAUCAGGAGGAACACCAGCGGCGAAGGCGGCGCUCUGGGCCGGAACUGACGCUGAGGAGCGAAAGCGUGGGUAGCAAACAGG